UACGUAGGUGGCAAGCGUUGUCCGGAAUUAUUGGGCGUAAAGCGCGCGCAGGUGGUUUCUUAAGUCUGAUGUGAAAGCCCACGGCUCAACCGUGGAGGGUCAUUGGAAACUGGGGAACUUGAGUGCAGGAGAGAAGAGUGGAAUUCCACGUGUAGCGGUGAAAUGCGUAGAGAUGUGGAGGAACACCAGUGGCGAAGGCGACUCUUUGGCCUGUAACUGACACUGAGGCGCGAAAGCUAGGGGAGCGAACGGG
rnacentral:rRNA from 1 species